GUAAUAGCUCACUGGUCGAGUCGGCCUGCGCGGAAGAUGUAACGGGGCUCAAACCAUACACCGAAGCUACGGGUAUCACCUUCGGGUGAUGCGGUAGAGGAGCGUUCUGUAAGCCUGUGAAGGUGAGUUGAGAAGCUUGCUGGAGGUAUCAGAAGUGCGAAUGCUGACAUGAGUAACGACAAUGGGUGUGAAAAACACCCACGCCGAAAGACCAAGGUUUCCUGCGCAACGUUAAUCGACGCAGGGUUAGUCGGUCCCUAAGGCGAGGCUGAAAAGCGUAGUCGAUGGAAAACAGGUUAAUAUUCCUGUACUUCUGGUUAUUGCGAUGGAGGGACGGAGAAGGCUAGGCCA
rnacentral:rRNA from 11 species